rnacentral:rRNA from 1 species
AUUGAACGCUGGCGGCAUGCCUUACACAUGCAAGUCGAACGGCAGCACGGGAGCAAUCCUGGUGGCGAGUGGCGAACGGGUGAGUAAAGCAUCGGAACGUGCCCAGUCGUGGGGGAUAACGUAGCGAAAGCUACGCUAAUACCGCAUACGAUCUGUGGAUGAAAGCGGGGGACCGUAAGGCCUCGCGCGAUUGGAGCGGCCGAUGUCAGAUUAGGUAGUUGGUGAGGUAAAGGCGCACCAAGCCGACGAUCUGUAGCUGGUCUGAGAGGACGACCAGCCACACUGGGACUGAGACACGGCCAAGACUCCUACGGGAGGCAGCAGUGGGGAAUUUUGGACAAUGGGCGCAAGCCUGAUCCAGCAAUGCCGCGUGCAGGAUGAAGGCCUUCGGGUUGUAAACUGCUUUUGUACGGAGCGAAACGGCUUCCACUAAUACUGGGGGCUAAUGACGGUACCGUAAGAAUAAGCACCGGCUAACUACGUGCCAGCAGCCGCCGUAAUAC